rnacentral:rRNA from 1 species
UACGUAGGUGGCAAGCGUUGUCCGGAUUUACUGGGCGUAAAGAGCGCGCAGGCGGUCGCUCAAGUCGCGUGUGAAAGCCCCCGGCUCAACUGGGGAGGGUCACGCGAUACUGAUCGACUCGAAGGCAGGAGAGGGUAGUGGAAUUCCCGGUGUAGUGGUGAAAUGCGUAGAUAUCAGGAAGAACACCAAUGGCGAAGGCAGCUCUCUGGGACGGUACUGACGCUGAGACGCGAAAGCGUGGGGAGCGAACAGG